GCAAUCAUACCAGUACAAAUGCACCGAAUCCCAUCAGAAUUCCGCAGUUAAGCGUGCUUGGGCGAGAGUAGUGUUAACUUUGAUCAAUCAAAGAAAAGUAAGAGGAAGAAAGAUGAGAAUAUUAUUGAGGCACAAUUA